GGAUGAUCAGCAACACUGGGACUGAGACACUGCCCAGACUCCUACGGGAGGCUGCAGUCGAGAAUCAUUGUCAAUGCACGAAAGUGUGAACAUGCGACGCCGCGUGGAGGAAGACGGCCUUUGGGUUGUAAACUCCUGUCAGCAGGGAGUAAGGAUGGUUCAUUUAAUACAUGUUCCAUUUGAUAGUACCUGCAGAGGAAGUCACGGCUAACUCUGUGCCAGCAGCCGCGGUAAUACAGAGGUGGCGAACGUUGUUCGGAUUUACUGGGCGUAAAGGGUCCGCAGGCGGCUUGGUGUGUCAGAUGUGAAAGCCCACGGCUUAACCGUGGAAUUGCAUUUGAAACUGCCGAGCUAGAGUACUGGAGGGGAGAAGGGAACACUUGGUGUAGCGGUGAAAUGCGUAGAUAUCAAGUGGAACACCGGUGGCGAAGGCGCUUCUCUGGACAGAUACUGACGCUCAUGGACGAAAGUUAGGGUAGCGAAAGGGAUUAGAUACCCCUGUAGUCCUAACCGUAAACGGUGUGCACUAGGCGUGGGAGGCUUUACCCCCUUCCGUGCCUGAGCUAACGCAUUAAGUGCACCGCCUGGGGAGUACGGUCGCAAGAUUAAAACUCAAAGGAAUUGACGGGGACCCGCACAAGCGGUGGAGCAUGUGGCUUAAUUCGAUGCAACGCGAAGAGCCUUACCUGGGCUUGACAUAUAGCUGCAUACGACCCGAAAGGGACGUAGCCUUCGAGGGUGCUAUACAGGUGCUGCAUGGCUGUCGUCAGCUCGUGCCGUGAGGUGUUGGGUUAAGUCCCGCAACGAGCGCAACCCCUGUGUUUAGUUGCCAGCACGUAAUGGUGGGAACUCUAAACAGACUGCUGGUGAAAGCCAGAGGAAGGUGGGGAUGACGUCAAGUCAGUAUGGUCCUUAUGUCCAGGGCUGCACACGUGCUACAAUGGGAUGUACAGCGGGAAGCUAAGCCGCGAGGUGGAGCAAAUCCUCAAAACAUCCCCCAGUUCGGAUUGGAGUCUGAAACUCGACUCCAUGAAGUUGGAAUCGCUAGUAAAGGCGUAUCAGCUACGACGCCUUGAAUACGUUCCCGGGUCUUGUACACACCGCCCGUCACAUCAUGGAAGUGAGUUGCACCCGAAGUUGUUGAUCUAACCCGUCAAGGGAGGAAGGCACCUAAGGUGUGAUUCAUAACUGGGAUGAAGUCGUAACAAGGUA
rnacentral:rRNA from 1 species